CCUACGGGUGGCUGCAGUGAGGAAUAUUGGUCAAUGGGCGCGAGCCUGAACCAGCCACGUCGCGUGAGGGAAGACGGUCCUAGGGAUUGUAAACCUCUUUUGCCGGGGAGCAAAAGACGCCACGCGUGGCGUUCCGAGAGUACCCGAAGAAAAAGCAUGGGCAAACUCCGUGCCAGCAGCCGCGGUAAUACGGAGGAUGCGUGCGUUAUCCGGAUUUAGUGGGGUAAAAGGGUGCGCAGGCGGAAGAUAAAGCCAGCGGUAAAAUUGAGAGGCUCAACCUCUUCGAGCCGUUGAAACUGGUUUUCUUGAGUGAACGAGAGGUAUGCGGAAUGCGUGGUGUAGCGGUGAAAUGCAUAGAUAUCACGAAGAACUCCGAUUGCGAAGGCAGCAUACCGGCGCUCAACUGACGCUCAUGCACGAAAGUGUGGGUAUCGAACAGGAUUAGAUACCCGAGUAGUC
rnacentral:rRNA from 1 species